GACGAACGCUGGCGGCGUGCUUAACACAUGCAAGUCGAACGGAAAGGCCCGGCUUUUGUGGGGUGCUCGAUAGGCGAACGGGUGAGUAACACGUGAGUAUCCUGCCCUUGACUUUGGGAUAACUUCAGGAAACUGGGGCGAAUACCGGAGAGGAGCUCCUGCUGCAUGGGGGGGGUUGGAAAGUGUCGGCGGUUGGGGAUGGACUCGCUGCUUAUCAGCUUGUUGGUGGGGUAGUGGCGGACCAGGGCUUUGACGGGUAGCCGGCCUUGGAGGGUUACCGGCCACCAUGGGCCUGCGAUACGGCCCAGACUCCUACGGGCGGCAGUAGUGGGGAAUCUUGCACAAUGGGCGGAAGCCUGAUGCAGCAACGCCGCGUUCGUGAUGACGGCCUUCGGGUUGUAAACCGCUUUCGCAUGUGCCGAAGCGUGAGUGACGGUAAUGGGUAAAGAAGCACCGGCUAACUACGUG
rnacentral:rRNA from 1 species